AAGGUUUGACAUAUAGGGAAAACUCAUAUCUCUAUGAGUUUUCCCUAUAUGUCAAACCUUGGUAAGGUUCUUCGCGUCGCAUCGAAUUAAACCGCAUGCUCCGCCGCUUGUGCGGGCCCCCGUCAAUUCCUUUGAGUUUUAGCCUUGCGGCCGUACUCCCCAGGCGGGGUGCUUAAUGCGUUAGCUGCGGCACGGAGAACGUGGAAUGUUCCCCACACCUAGCACCCACCGUUUACGGCGUGGACUAC
rnacentral:misc_RNA from 1 species